CAUAAGCCAGCUUGACUGCGAGCGUGACGGCGCGAGCAGGUGCGAAAGCAGGUCAUAGUGAUCCGGUGGUUCUGAAUGGAAGGGCCAUCGCUCAACGGAUAAAAGGUACUCCGGGGAUAACAGGCUGAUACCGCCCAAGAGUUCAUAUCGACGGCGGUGUUUGGCACCUCGAUGUCGGCUCAUCACAUCCUGGGGCUGAAGUAGGUCCCAAGGGUAUGGCUGUUCGCCAUUUAAAGUGGUACGCGAGCUGGGUUUAGAACGUCGUGAGACAGUUCGGUCCCUAUCUGCCGUGGGCGCUGGAGAACUGAGGGGGGCUGCUCCUAGUACGAGAGGACCGGAGUGGACGCAUCACUGGUGUUCGGGUUGUCAUGCCAAUGGCACUGCCCGGUAGCUAAAUGCGGAAGAGAUAAGUGCUGAAAGCAUCUAAGCACGAAACUUGCCCCGAGAUGAGUUCUCCCUGACCCUUUAAGGGUCCUGAAGGAACGUUGAAGACGACGACGUUGAUAGGCCGGGUGUGUAAGCGCAGCGAUGCGUUGAGCUAACCGGUACUAAUGAACCGUGAGGCUUAACCUU
rnacentral:rRNA from 2 species